AAAAAGCGCCUAGCGCAGACAAAUUGAUGGAGAAAUAUUUUUAACUGAGUGACUUAGUGAAUGCAUGUUUACAAGCAAAUUGUGCGUCCUCAGGAUCUAUCUGUGUAUUAUCAUUGGAGAGUGCAUUUGAUUUUAAAAGAUACUUUGUCAUAUAGAUAUACAGCUAGUUUUAGAUUUUUAUUUUCUUCAAUAUUUUUUAACCUUUCUUAUUCCCUUUGUAGAAAUCCGAAACCUUAUUUAAGUAUAGUUAAAACCACUAUAACUUGAUAUGCGUUUACUUUCUAUAAUUCAGUCCUUAACUUUCUUUUGCUCUUAUAGAUGAAUUGUAGAAUAUACUGAAAAGUGCAAAGCAAGAAUUUUUCACAAGAAACAGAAAGAAUACCCUUAUUAUUUUCAUCUUCAACAAACAUUUCAGUUUUGAAAGGCUCAUUUUUCAGAAAAUAAAAUCCCCACAUUCCAAUACAUCAAAUUAGUAUGUUACAUUCAAGGUUUAUAAUUCAGCAAGUUUAAAACUACCGUCGAAAUUGGUAUAAUUUUGAAUUUGUUGAAUUACAGCACGGUCAAUUACAAGUCCCGCAGCACGUAAAUGUAAAUAAUUCGCAUCUCAUCACAUGUAGUUGUCAUCAAAGUUGUCUUGACAAAGAAAAAGAAACAGAAUCUUGAUAAAUAUUGGUAAAUCAAUGCAGAGGUAUGUUUCCCAGGAAGUUUAAAUAGUUCAGGGAAGGGAAAGGGUUUCCUAUACCUUUAUUACCCCCACCCCCUCUUUUAACUCUAUAAUUUUUUUUUGCAUAACCUUAAGAAAAUAAAUCUACAAGCAAAAAAAAAAUGAUAAAAGAAACCAAACAAAAUAAACCAAAACCAAAAAACAUUUUUAGAAAAUUCCUUUAAAAAACCCAGUCUAUCUUGUUCUUAUUAUUCAACUUCAAAAAUCACAAAUGCAACUUCCCUAAACACACAUUACGAUAAUCCAUAUAUAGGAGAAGAAGUCGAGUUUUACAAAAAAAAGCCUUUUCUUUCUCAUUCCUACCGGAUCCGUAUUUUUCAGGGCGGGUGGAAGCAAUGUCUAUUUCUUGUAGUAACGUUGUCUACAAUACGUAUUUUUUUGCAGCACUCAACCGUAUCUUCAUAUUUUUGAUUCGGGGUGUACGCACAUCUUAUAAUCAGUAGUUGUUGUGAGGAAUCUAGUUUACAAUGUUGUAUAAUGUUUUAAUUUGUAACUUUAUUCGUGUCAUAUAUAAAUUAAGUCUGAAAGAUUCUUACGCCCUGUGUUCUAAAACAAUUUAAACAAUUUUCUUAAAUCAACAGUCUUUCAAUAUUUUAUUGCAAGUACUUGUAAUCGAUAAUUUCAUGUGAUAACUUUUCAUUGACUUUUCUUAAUGCUUUCUACGAUGCCGGAACUUUUUUCUUUUUUAAAAGAUCAUAAAUAGCUGAAAUUGGUUCAUACUGUAAUUGGUUUAUACGAGAAUUGUUUAAUGGAAAAGUAAGAAGAUUUCUUAUCGUGCAAUAUAUUAAAAUAACUGAAACCCUGUGAUUGAUUUGAGAGUUUUGAGUGAUAACUGUAGUCUGUAGUUUUUUUUUUCAUGUUUUAAUUAAUGAGUAAUGAUAAGUGUUGUUACUUAUUCCCCUACUCUGUGUUACACAGUCCAAUCCCUAAAUGUUUAGAUCUGAACAAUAAAAAUGAUCCGUAAAAAAUC
rnacentral:misc_RNA from 1 species